rnacentral:rRNA from 1 species
GAUGAACGCUGACAGCAUGCUUAACACAUGCAAGUCUUUGGCGAAUCUGUGCUUGCACCGGCUAGCCAAGGCGGACGGGUGAACGACGCGUAAAGAACUUGCCCUGCAGACAGGGAUAACAGACGGAAACGACUGAUAACACCUGAUACAGUUGCCGGCACGCAUGUGCCUGGCAAUGAAAAGAGAUGCUGCAGGAGAGCUUUGCGUCCUAUUAGCUUGUUGGUGAGGUGACGGCUCACCAAGGCGAUGAUAGGUAGCCGGCCUGAGAGGGUGAACGGCCACAAGGGGACUGAGAUACGGCCCUUACUCCUACGGGAGGCAGCAGUGGGGAAUAGUGGACAAUGGGGGCAACACUGAUCCAGCAAUUCUGUGUGCACGAAGAAGGUUUUCGGAUUGUAAAGUGCUUUCAGCAGGGAAGAAGAAAGUGACGGUACCUGCAGAAGAAGCGACGGCUAAAUACGUG